rnacentral:other from 1 species
CAACCUCUGGAAUGCGCGACAUAUUCCUAUGUGCUGACCAACUGAACCCUUUCUUGCCUGGAGUCGGGUUGUGGUGAGCAAGCCCGCCCUAGAGCGGGACGCCUGAAACGCCCAUACUGGGUACAUUCGGAUCAACAGGUUCUCUCUAAGGGGUAAGCGUCGGUAUUCCGGAGGUUGC